AGUUCAUAGUUCCCUUGCCCUUGGAGAGAUGAAAGGGACAAGGGACAUAAGACCUAGUCUUAUGGGUAAGAAAAAGAGACUAUACAAUCUGAAAACCACUAUCAAUGAAUGAAAGAAAAGCAGGAUCAUAGUAGAAGACAGACCUGAGAUCAUCCCAUAGUCCUUCCCUCCAUCCCUGCCCAGUGUAAGCAGAACCUUUAAGCAGGAAGAAUUCUGGACUAGGAGUUUCUCUUAUCCUCUCGAAAUAUACUUGAAGUAGAUCAUGGCAAGGUAUCUUCAGCUCAAGAUAGAAGAGAAAGGCUUACCUA